rnacentral:lncRNA from 1 species
CAUUGCCAUGUCAGUAAAAAGCUUCCCGGCCUCUUGAAUUUUCUCCCAACUCACUGGGUAGCCUGAAAACUUGCCAAGAGGCACGGAGGGGUCAGGUGGGAUGUGGGGAGCUGAGCUCAUGUCGGGAGGAGUCUGAGAUAGCAGGGGCUUCCCCAGCACAGAACCACUGCCUAGCCACAGAGGACAGAGCCAGGCCUGCGGAGAGACAGGAGGAUGACGCGGCAAGAUUCCCUGGGGAGCUGCCUGGGGUGGGGAGCUCCCUUACGAGGAGGCCUGUCUGCACCUCUCAACCCCAGCGGAACCACAGCAUAACUCCUGCACCCAGUGGCCCUCAGCUCUGCCCUGUCCCACAGCUCGGAUCGUUGUCCUGGACACGUCUCGUUUCCCACCUCGUUCGAGUCUGAGCUCUCGG